rnacentral:rRNA from 1 species
AAAUUGAAGAGUUUGAUCAUGGCUCAGAUUGAACGCUGGCGGCAGGCCUAACACAUGCAAGUCGAACGGUAACAGGAAGAAGCUUGCUUCUUUGCUGACGAGUGGCGGACGGGUGAGUAAUGUCUGGGAAACUGCCUGAUGGAGGGGGAUAACUACUGGAAACGGUAGCUAAUACCGCAUAAUGUCGCAAGACCAAAGAGGGGGACCUUCGGGCCUCUUGCCAUCGGAUGUGCCCAGAUGGGAUUAGCUAGUAGGUGGGGUAACGGCUCACCUAGGCGACGAUCCCUAGCUGGUCUGAGAGGAUGACCAGCCACACUGGAACUGAGACACGGUCCAGACUCCUACGGGAGGCAGCAGUGGGGAAUAUUGCACAAUGGGCGCAAGCCUGAUGCAGCCAUGCCGCGUGUAUGAAGAAGGCCUUCGGGUUGUAAAGUACUUUCAGCGGGGAGGAAGGGAGUAAAGUUAAUACCUUUGCUCAUUGACGUUACCCGCAGAAGAAGCACCGGCUAAC